CUACGGGUUGCAGCAGUGAGGAAUAUUGCGCAAUGGGGGAAACCCUGACGCAGCGACGCCGCGUGGAUGAUGAAGGCCUUCGGGUCGUAAAAUCCUGUCAGAAGGAAAGAAGUGUAUGGUAGCUAAUAUCUGCCAUACUUGACGGUACCUUCAAAGGAAGCACCGGCUAACUCCGUGCCAGCAGCCGCGGUAAUACGGAGGGUGCAAGCGUUGUUCGGAAUUACUGGGCGUAAAGCGCGCGUAGGCGGUUUUAUAAGUCAGAUGUGAAAGUCCACGGCUCAACCAUGGAAGUGCAUUUGGAACUGUAAGACUUGAGUAUUGGAGGGGGUAGUGGAAUUCCCGGUGUAGAGGUGAAAUUCGUAGAUAUCGGGAGGAAUACCGGUGGCGAAGGCGACUAUCUGGCCAAAUACUGACGCUGAGGUGCGAAAGCGUGGGGAGCAAACAGGAUUAGAUACCCGGGUAGUC
rnacentral:rRNA from 1 species